AUCCAUCUUUCCCUUGUUGUAGGGAUCCCUUUGUUCAUAGAAAUUAUAGGGCAGCUGGCAGAUUUUCAUGCCUAAUAGCUGCCCAUGGUACACAUCGAAGGCUGAUUUGCUUCUAAACAAUACUCCAACCAACACUCGUGUGGCAGGGCAAUCAUGAGUGCAGGGAGAGUUCACAUGUGAGGACCUGGUAGGUGGGUAGUAGUGGAUGAGGUCACAAUGUGGUUGGAACUUGAACAGUAUCCAAUUUCAUUCCUAAAACAACCUUUUGAAAUAGGUGCCUUCCUGGACCUGCCAACAGGAACCUAUGGUAUUUGUGUCAACAUGUGCCCAGGAAACAAAUCCUGUCUAGGGGAAAGAGAUGCCAAAGCAAUGGCUGUGGUCAUGUGUGCAAAGUUGUUCCUGAAACAGCAGUGAUGACCGUGCAGGCGGAAGCACAGACCUUUAUAAGAGUAGCCAGGUCACUUCUUCAGAAGAUUCUUCACCCAUCCCCAAGCCCUGGUUGUUCUUCAUCCUUGGAGUUACAAGCCUGGAAGAAAUAGCCUUAUUUUAAUUAUUCAAUUUUGGAAAUUUCCACAGGCUAACUUUUAACCAGAAGAUCUUGAUCCUAAAAACUCUUAUCCAGAAUAAACUGUUCUGGCAUUAUCCAA